UGGAACUUGGAAACUCAAAGCAGAGCUCUCUCUCAAAAUCCCUAAGCUCCGAAAGGAAAACAGUGUGAAAUCGCGUUUUACUUCUGCAAUUCUAUCUGUCAAAAUCCCCGAGCUCUGAAAGGAAAACAGAUCGAAAUCGCAUUUAACUUCUGCAAUUCGAUCCUUUACAAUACCUAGAAACGUCAAUUUUGUCCUCUACACAAGCAAUCUCUUCGCCGAUUUCAGGUAAUAUUGGAGAGGGUAGAGCAUUUUGCACAGUCAGUUUCUGUAUACGAAGAUCAAACAUUUCAAAAAAGAGCUCGUAUUCAGCAGUGAUUUUAUUGUGAGUAGGCGACUCAUGAGCACCUACAAUGACUGGUAUUCCAAAUUCCGAACUCAACCUGCUGCAGUCAGCAUUUUGGAUAUUUUUGUUGAAUAUGGGAAUGAGGGAAGCAUUGUACUGCUCCAAGCCUGCUUAGAUCAAGUGAAAUUUCAAAGCGAAGACUUUCAGUCAAAGCCAGAUCUUCUAUCAGCUAUCUUUAGAUACUUUUUGGGUAGACCAAAUUUUGCCACAGUUUUCUGUGAAGCACUGAGAAGUAAAGUGAUGAGUGAAGGAUUUCUAGAAGGUCUCUCCAAGCAAUUGCAUUUGUCUACACCCGAGAAAAUUGCUGUUGGUCUUGCUCUGUCAGAUUCAGGAAAUACGGAUUUCAGAAUUAGAGAUGAACAAUCUAAUUCUGCAGAAUUGCUUUCCUUGGAAACAGAAGAUGUAGAGAAAAGACAUCAAAGAAAUAUUCAAGAUCAUCCACUAUUCUUUGGAAUCACAUUGGGGCUGUUGGCUGAGAUAAUAAAUUCAAGGCUCUUCACUACAGUCCGGGAUUCUUUAGGAUUAACAUAUGAUGUAUCCUUUGAGCUAAGCCUGUUUGAUAGGCUGAAACUCAGGUGGUAUGUGGUCUCAGUAACUUCAACUCCUGGCAAGGUCUAUAAAGCUGUUGAUGCAUGUAAGAAUGUUCUGAGAGGUUUGCAUGACAGCAAGAUUGCCCAAAGGGAGCUGGAUCGGCGAUCACAACGGCCAUCACAAUUGCAGAGAUUCUGAAGAAAAAAGGGCUGGCUAUUGAGAAGAGGAUUUUGAUGUCUAUAGUUGACACGAAGGAUGAAUCCAAGGGCCAUCUCAUUCCAAAAGCGAAGAUGGAGGUAUUGCUGGGGAAGACUAAGAAAUUCGAUGAUCUGAUGGUUGCCGUUGCUGCCAAAGGGAGGCAGUUGGAGACAAUAAAGCAUGAUGGCAAACCAUAGCUCUGGAGUUCCAUCAUAUUCUGAUUUUCAUUUCUUUUUUCCUCCUGGUGUCCUGUUUAAGUGAUAGAGGUUAGGGAA